CCUACGGGAGGCAGCAGUGGGGAAUAUUGGGCAAUGGAGGAAACUCUGACCCAGCGACGCCGCGUGCGGGAUGAAGGCCUUCGGGUUGUAAACCGCUUUCAGUAGGGAAGAAGCGAAAGUGACGGUACCUACAAAAGAAGCACCGGCUAACUAUGUGCCAGCAGCCGCGGUAAUACAUAGGGUGCAAGCGUUGUCCGGAAUUAUUGGGCGUAAAGAGCUCGUAGGUCGUUUGUUACGUCGGAUGUGAAAACCUGAGGCUCAACCUCAGGCCUGCAUUCGAUACGGGCAAACUAGAGUUUGGUAGGGGAGACUGGAAUUCCUGGUGUAGCGGUGGAAUGCGCAGAUAUCAGGAGGAACACCAAUGGCGAAGGCAGGUCUCUGGGCCAAUACUGACACUGAGGAGCGAAAGUCUGGGGAGCGAACAGGAUUAGAUACCCUGGUAGUCCAGACCGUAAACGGUGGGCACUAGUUGUGGGAACCUUCCACGGUCUCUGCGACGCAGCUACGCAUAAGUAGCCCGCCCGUCGGGUAGGUACGAGUCGCGAGAAGUUAAACUAACAAAUAGUAAGUUAGUACGGUUCGUUGUAGACGUUGCCGACGGACGACGACGAGGGAGGAGG
rnacentral:rRNA from 1 species